GGGCCCAUGGAUUAGCGGUAUAUCGCUUGCUUGGCAUGCAAGAGGUCGGGGGUUCAAUUCCCCCUGGGUCCACCA
rnacentral:tRNA from 1 species